ACAUGCAAGUCGAACGAUGAAGCCCAGCUUGCUGGGUGGAUUAGUGGCGAACGGGUGAGUAACACGUGAGUAACCUGCCCUUAACUCUGGGAUAAGCCUGGGAAACUGGGUCUAAUACCGGAUAGGAGCGUCUACCGCAUGGUGGGUGUUGGAAAGAUUUAUCGGUUUUGGAUGGACUCGCGGCCUAUCAGCUUGUUGGUGAGGUAAUGGCUCACCAAGGCGACGACGGGUAGCCGGCCUGAGAGGGUGACCGGCCACACUGGGACUGAGACACGGCCCAGACUCCUACGGGAGGCAGCAGUGGGGAAUAUUGCACAAUGGGCGCAAGCCUGAUGCAGCGACGCCGCGUGAGGGAUGACGGCCUUCGGGUUGUAAACCUCUUUCAGUAGGGAAGAAGCGAAAGUGACGGUACCUGCAGAAGAAGCACCGGCUAACUACGUGCCAGCAGCCGCGGUAAUACGUAGGGUGCGAGCGUUAUCCGGAAUUAUUGGGCGUAAAGAGCUCGUAGGCGGUUUGUCGCGUCUGUCGUGAAAGUCCGGGGCUUAACCCCGGAUCUGCGGUGGGUACGGACAGACUAGAGUGCAGUAGGGGAGACUGGAAUUCCUGGUGUAGCGGUGGAAUGCGCAGAUAUCAGGAGGAACACCGAUGGCGAAGGCAGGUCUCUGGGCUGUAACUGACGCUGAGGAGCGAAAGCAUGGGGAGCGAACAGGAUUAGAUACCCUGGUAGUCCAUGCCGUAAACGUUGGGCACUAGGUG
rnacentral:rRNA from 1 species